ensembl:snRNA U6 U6 spliceosomal RNA
GUGCUUGCCUCAGGAGCACAUGUACUAAAACCAGAACAAUACAGGGAAGAUUAGUAUGCCGCCUGUACAAGGAUGAUUUGCACAUUUAAGACUUGUUCCACAUUUCU